UCCCCGUUACCGGGGCAGUCUGACUAGAAAAAUCCAACUAGCCAUAAGGGUUGCGCUCGUUGAUGGACUUAACCAAACAUCUCACGACACGAGCUGACGACGGCCAUGCAUCACCUGUCACUUGGUUCCUUGCGGCACUCACUACUUUCGUAGUAAUUCCAAGGAUGUCAAACCCUGGUAAGGUUCUAGGCUUAGCAUCCGAUUAAACAACACGCUCCACCGCUUGUGCGGGUCCCCGUCAAUUCCUUUGAGUUUUAAUCUUGCGACCGUACUCCUCAGGCGGGAUGCUUAACGCGUUAACUUCGCUACUGACCGGGUCGAUACGGCCAACAGCUAGCAUCCAUAGUUUACGGCGUGGACUAC
rnacentral:misc_RNA from 1 species